GCAAUCAAAUCUCUUUAGGCCUUCCCAGAAUUGUGAUUCAUAUUGUCUGAUUCUCAAAAUCCAGACAAAUCCAACAGAAACACUCCUUUAGGUGGAAGAGCAAACAGAAAUGCAGCGUUAUGGAGAGCCUGAAAGCCACUAUUCCCUUGCAGAAGGUGCUUCUGCUGCUUCCUUCUAGAGCUUAUCUAGUAAUUGCCUACAAAGUGUGAACAUGUCUGCACUGAACACCUGGAAUGGAAAGACAUCAUUGGAAAGACCUUUAUUAACUGGUUCCUAAGAUCCACUAUUCAGUUUCACAGGCUUGAAAUACACUGAUUCUCAUGUGUCCUGAAUGACUUCAGAAAAGGAUAUGUUGUAUGGACAAGAGUGGGCUGGGAGCUUCAGUUCAUCAGUCCUCAGAGAUGCCAAGCAGCCACAUCUUCCACUGACUGAGGAGGUGUUGGAGAGAACUGAACAUCUCCUGGGAGAGGCUGGAUAAUCAAAUCAGAGCAAAAAUACAGCAGAGUCAGCAUAGAUACACACCCAUACCUACAUAUAUAUGCACAUUUACACACCCAUAUCAGCCAAUUAGUCUGAUAAACUAGCUAACAUUCUGUCAGAAUUGUUUUUGUUAUGAGUAUAAAAUAGCUACAUAAAUCAGCCAUUUCCCUUCAUUGCAACCCCAGUCAUUGCCAGAGAACAUAUUCCCUUAAGCGCAGUAGAAGCUAAGAGCAGCCAGCACUUUCCCUGACCCCUGUUUCCAGGAUUGCUUUCCGGCGAGUUCUUGCUAUAAGAAGCUCUGUUUUUCCAUCCCAGAUGAAGGUGACUAGGCUUAUCUUACCAUCUGUUUUCUUCUAGUCUCUGGUGCAACAGCUUUCAAGAGGUACAAGGAGGCUUAUUUGACCACGUUCCUUGGCUUUGGCCAUGGUUUGCCAUGUGGCCAAUUGCCUUGGGAAACAGCUUCUAGAAACUCCCAUUCUCUCUUGCUACAAAGGGCUUUAAUUGUCUUCUGCUCAGUCAUAAUUGUGCCUUGCACAUGUGGCAGUUUGACUAUAGUCUCCAGUUGUAUGCCAAUUAGAUUCUCUUUAGAUGGGAACAGCCUGUGCACAAGCUCCAAAAAAUCAUUAAAAUAUACGCUAAAAGACUUUACAGGAUAGAAUUUUUACAGACACAGGGCCUGGCCUGGCCUGACUCUCCUUCAAGUUGAUGCAAAGAAACCCACUACCCUCAUGUGAUCUUAUUUUUGUUAAAUAAUAAGUAGAAGGAGCAAGAAAUUCAUAGACAUGUUCAAGCUGGUUCAGUAAAGAUAUUUAGAACCUAUACAGAGAAUUUUCUUCUAGGUAUCAUAAAAAGGGACCUUAGAAAUGUUUCUGUUCAGUUACAUUUAAAUAUACCAUGAUGGGAUGCCUUCUAAAGUAAUUGUUUCCUGCAUGCUGUUUGCAAGCUAAGCAUCAAGAGACAAGUUAUAAGUAGCAAUAAACAAACAAACAAACAAACAAAUAAAAGGUUAGAUUAGGAAGCCCAGCAGUCUCUCAGACCAUACCACCUGUGCAGAAAGACAGUGGCCACAGCUUAAUUGUUGCUUGAGCACCUAAUGGAGAUGAGCACCAAAAAGAUAUUCACAGCUUUUUCUCAGUAAUCCUUUUGAAAAGAAGAAUAAAAGAGGAACAGUGGUUGUUAAAAGGGAAACCAGAAAACACUGUAGGAUCAGCUCUUGAAUAAAUAUGGUCUGGAGUUCAUUAAACUCCACACACCUCUGCAAAAGCUUUCCCUAGUAACUAAGGGAAGAACAUGCUCCCCAUUACUUUUCCUACUAGAAUAAUUACAGUAUGUUAAGGCACAGCAAGGCAGGUCACAGCAAAGCCUGUUUGGAGUUUGCAUUUCAACUGCAUAUUAUGCACUUGCAUUGUAAUAUAUUCAUACUGACAGCAUCGUUACGGUGAAUUAAUCUAAAUUAUGUCUAGACGCAUAUUUACAACAACAAGCAUCAUAGACUGCUUGGUGGCUGACUGCUCAGAGGAAUUAACCAUGAAAAUCCCAGGCAUAAACCUUACAAAUAAAUGACUAAAACGAUAAGCAGAAGAAUAAGUUAGUUUAGGCCAUGAUUCAGGAACAAUACCAAAACCUUCUCCAUAUAAUUUUAUUAGUUUAUGUGUUAGUUUACCAGUUUACCAACUUUAAUUGCGAUCACCUCUGCUGGAGAGACAUAACCCAACCGUAAUGCUGUCACAGGCUCAGAAGCCAGCACGAGAGUGCAAGGAAGUCACAGCAAGUCAUUGGAAGCAUUGACCUCUACUUAUGUGCAGUUAAAGUGCCCAGAUAUACCCACACUUUGAAAGAUUUUCAUGAAUAUCCUAUGGCUAUUUUAAGUCAGGUGUGUCAGGAAACUUAGCUAUCAUUUCAACAUUAGUAAAGGUAAAGUCAUACAUUAGCAUUGUUCCACCACUAUUGGUAAUGCGGGAAGAAGGAGGCUUGCAGUUCCUGCUGUUAUUUAUUGUUUGUAAGAGCAAAGGUUUUUAGGAGCAACACUGAUUACUUUUAGCAAUUCCCACCUAACACAAUCAUUUUAUUACCCAGCUGCAAUGAAUCCACAACACUGCCAGUGCAGCAUGUAAUUAAUUGUAAUUUUAUAGACCACGUAUACACACUACUUCACCCUAAACUCACUGUGGGGUAGAAGCUUGCAAAGGCAGGGCGACAGACAACAUAUGAGAGGUUUGGAAUUUUGUCAUCACUGGAGCUGUGGCUCUCAGGAGAGCUCUUGGGGCAGCCAGGCAUGCAGGGGACACCCAACCCAGAGGAUGUGUGGCCGAGGAAUCCCCAUGUCACCAGAAAAGACCAUGCUGCUGUGUCAUGAUGGCAUUCCCCGGCAGCGGCAUGAGGACAGCGUGUUCCCAGCUCCUGGGAAAAUUAAAUGCUUUCUUCCCUAGCAUGGGGUUCGUUACAGCCUGUUUGGUUUUAAGAUCUUGAUCUGUCUGCAGUAAUGCAACCCUCGUGCAUGCUGUUCGGGAGGACUGGGAAGGGAGGGAGGAAAGGAGGCUGAGCACAAGCAGGGCGCACUUAGAUGCUGGACAAGAGAAAUGUGAGACCUGACACUGCUUUGGCACCGGAGCUCUCCAUGCUGGAGAGCGCUGGUAAUUUUUAUGCUUGAGGAGACCCACAACAGUAAAUUCAAUAACUCGACAUGCCUAAUUUCUCUGUGGGGAAGCAGGAAGCAUUAGCAUGGGCACAGCCUUCCGUAACACGUCCAAACAGCUUCCAGCCUGGAGAAGGCUUUCACUCGGCUGAGUCAGAGUGCAGGCAGAGUUACCGUCUGUGCAGAUGUGCCUGUAGAUAAAGCAGGUGGGACCAGCACAGCACUAGUAUUGUACAUGUCUUAUAGAAACGGGGCUGAGGUAAGAGAGAUGGCAGCACAGAAAGGUCAAAUUCACUUCUUAAGAUUGCUCAAGAGGCCUGAGCCAAACCUUCCUGCAUCCUGGGUAAGUAAAUGCAAGUGCCUUCCUGAGGAAUGGCCUGGACUUGCUCCCUGAAGGCAAAGGUUUACCUGCAGAAGCACUAUUGCUCUUACCUUUAAUAAAUGUUUAGUGAAAUGCUCUGUCAAAAGUUGUUUAGAAAGCAGAAAUGGAGAUGUGAGCUUACCUCUGUGUAUGGCAUUAGUUAACCACUGCUAGAAGCUGGCAUGCAUUUCUGGUCCUCACUCCCAAAGGGAGGCUGAGGAAAUACUAUAGACGUUUCAAAGGGGAGCCAGAAAGCUCUCCUGUGGGCUGCCAAGCAAACCAUAGUGGCAGAGACAAAAGGACUGUAAUUUAUUCACUUAAAAAAAAAAAAAGGCA